CUGGCUCAGGAUGAACGCUAGCGGCAGGCUUAACACAUGCAAGUCGAGGGGCAGCGCGGGGUAGCAAUACCCUGGCGGCGACCGGCGGAAGGGUGCGUAACACGUGAGCGACUUGCCCGUCACAGGGAGAUAACCGGCGGAAACGGCGACUAAUAUCCCAUAUGAUCCGGUGCCACAUGGCGUCGGAUUGAAAGAUUCAUCGGUGACGGAUAGGCUCGCGGGACAUUAGCUAGACGGCGGGGCAACGGCCCACCGUGGCGACGAUGUCUAGGGGUUCUGAGAGGAAGAUCCCCCACACUGGAACUGAGACACGGUCCAGACUCCUACGGGAGGCAGCAGUGAGGAAUAUUGGUCAAUGGGCGGAAGCCUGAACCAGCCAUGCCGCGUGAAGGAAUAAGGCCCUAUGGGUCGUAAACUUCUUUAGACGCAGAGCAAUAAGGUCCACGAGUGGAUCGAUGAGAGUAUGCGUAGAAUAAGCAUCGGCUAACUCCGUGCCAGCAGCCGCGGUAAUACGGGGGAUGCGAGCGUUAUCCGGAUUUAUUGGGUUUAAAGGGUGCGUAGGCGGCAAGGUAAGUCAGCGGUGAAAGACCAGGGCUCAACUCUGGAAGUGCCGUUGAUACUGUCUGGCUAGAAUGAUUCCGCCGUGGGAGGAAUGAGUAGUGUAGCGGUGAAAUGCAUAGAUAUUACUCAGAACACCGAUUGCGAAGGCAUCUCACGAGGGGUUCAUUGACGCUGAGGCACGAAAGCGUGGGGAUCGAACAGGAUUAGAUACCCUGGUAGUCCACGCAGUAAACGAUGAUGGCUAACUGUCGGGCCUUAGGGUUCGGCGGCCAAGCGAAAGCGAUAAGCCAUCCACCUGGGGAGUACGACCGCAAGGUUGAAACUCAAAGGAAUUGACGGGGGCCCGCACAAGCGGAGGAACAUGUGGUUUAA
rnacentral:rRNA from 1 species